rnacentral:misc_RNA from 1 species
AAUGUUUGAGUCCAUAGAUGUGACCCUACUAAGGGACAUGAAGGAGCGGAUCAAUGUGGAACAGCACUGUUUGGCUAGGGAUAUAGUGAAUGUCAUAGCAUGUGAGGGCAAGGAAAGAGUAGAACGUCACGAGCUAUUGGGGAAGUGGAAAUCCAGGUUCAUGAUGGCAGGUUUUCAGCAAUAUCCUUUGAGCUCUUAUGUGAAUUCAGUGAUUAAGGACCUCAUGAAGCGUUACUCGGAGCAUUAUACACUGGUGGAGAAAGACGGAGCUAUGCUGUUGGGGUGGAAGGAGCGGAAUCUAGUCUCUGCGUCUGCUUGGUUUUAACGAGUUACUGUUCAUUAUGUGGAAACAGAUGGUUAGCCUUCUUUUUUAUUACUUAACCAGACAAUAGGAUUGAUCAAGUAAUUAUACUCAUGUUAUGUAGUUUCAAUUUUCUGAAAUUUUAGUUGUUUAUUUUUCAAGUUAUCGUUUGAUAUUAUUUGUUAAAACUUAUAAACAAUUAUAUCUCGUCCUUGAUGAUUUGUUGAGCAACUUUGGAGAUUAUAUCCGGUCCUCGGUUGAUACAAAGGUACAUUAGCAGAAAAUGAAUAGAAAACUGCCCGGAGACCUCUCGGUGCUACCGGAAUCCUGCCUGCUGCCGCUGCUUGUAAGGCAUUAUGGAUAUAGGGAGUUUAGAUACUGAAACACUAUCACAGAUCUAUUAGAGGAGAACACAUUAAAUUUGGUGGGUU